AACGAACGCUGGCGGCAGGCUUAACACAUGCAAGUCGAACGCACCGCAAGGGGAGUGGCAGACGGGUGAGUAACGCGUGGGAACAUACCCUUUUCUACGGAAUAGCUCUGGGAAACUGGAAUUAACACCGUAUACGCCCUACGGGGGAAAGAUUUAUCGGGGAAGGAUUGGCCCGCGUUGGAUUAGCUAGUUGGUGGGGUAAAGGCCUACCAAGGCGACGAUCCAUAGCUGGUCUGAGAGGAUGAUCAGCCACAUUGGGACUGAGACACGGCCCAAACUCCUACGGGAGGCAGCAGUGGGGAAUAUUGGACAAUGGGCGCAAGCCUGAUCCAGACAUGCCGCGUGAGUGAUGAAGGCCUUAGGGUUGUAAAGCUCUUUCACCGAUGAAGAUAAUGACGGUAGUCGGAGAAGAAGCCCCGGCUAACUUCGUGCCAGCCGCCGCGGUAAGAC
rnacentral:rRNA from 1 species